rnacentral:rRNA from 1 species
AGCGAACGCUGGCGGCAGGCUUAACACAUGCAAGUCGAACGGGCAUCUUCGGAUGUCAGUGGCAGACGGGUGAGUAACACGUGGGAACGUACCCUUCGGUUCGGAAUAACUCAGGGAAACUUGAGCUAAUACCGGAUACGCCCUUUUGGGGAAAGGUUUACUGCCGAAGGAUCGGCCCGCGUCUGAUUAGCUUGUUGGUGGGGUAACGGCCUACCAAGGCGACGAUCAGUAGCUGGUCUGAGAGGAUGAUCAGCCACACUGGGACUGAGACACGGCCUAGACUCCUACGGGAAGCAGCAGUGGGGAAUAUUGGACAAUGGGCCCAAGCCUGAUCCAGCCAUGCCGCGUGAGUGAUGAAGGCCUUAGGGUUGUAAAGCUCUUUUGUCCGGGACGAUAAUGACGGUACCGGAAGAAUAAGCCCCGGCUAACUUCGUG